CACGUAGGGGACGAGCGUUGUCCGGAAUCAUUGGGCGUAAAGCGCGCGUAGGCGGCCCGGAAAGUCGGAUGUGAAAUCCCGGGGCUCAACCCCGGGCCUGCAUCCGAUACUCCCGGGCUGGAGGCAGGUAGGGGAGAUCGGAAUUCCUGGUGUAGCGGUGAAAUGCACAGAUAUCAGGAGGAACACCGGUGGCGAAGGCGGAUCUCUGGGCCUUGCCUGACGCUGAGACGCGAAAGCGUGGGGAGCGAACAGG
rnacentral:rRNA from 1 species